rnacentral:tRNA from 1 species
GCCCCCAUCGUCUAGUGGCCUAGGACACCACCCUCUCAAGGUGGAGACACGGGUUCGAAUCCCGUUGGGGGUGCCA